rnacentral:lncRNA from 1 species
CCUCCCAAAAUAAAAUUUUCUUUCAUAAACAAAAAUAAAAAAUAAUACUUUAAAUAUCACUAAUGUAGUUCAUACUUUUUUUACUUUAGUAUUCUAUAAUUUAAAGUGUACCAUAUUGAAGCAUCAAAUCAAACCACAUUGAGCCAGUUCAACCAACUUAUUAAAUCAAAAUCAAUUCGGAAUCAAGAGGACAACCGAACCACACCAAAUGAUCCAACUGCACCAAUCACAACUUGAUAGUUUUCGAAUUUAUAAAUUUGUAUUCUUGAGAGUGUAUGGUUGUAACCUCCUCCGCAAUAUAGGAGUAACCUCCUCCACAAUAAGUGUGAGAAGUUCUCCUUUAUGUGUAUAAGUUUCUCAAUCGGACAUUAAUGAAGUGUGUAAGCUUCCAAUUUUUUUAUGGUAUCAGAGCCACGCUAAGGCACCAAAGAUCUUAAAAAAAAAAAUUGGCAUCCUUAGCUAACCCGAAAUUUUCCUUUCCCUCCACCAUUAAUGUGGCAAAUUUCGUCACAUUGAAGCUCAAUGACAACAACUAUCUGCUCUGGGAAACACAAGUAGUGUCACUGAUCGAAAGUCAGGACUUACUUGGUUUCCUCAUGGGGGAGACUAUCGCACCACCUAAGAUGUCGACUUCAGAAAGUGGAGCCACCGUCAACAACCCAGACUACACAUCUUGGGUACGGACCGAUCGCCUUGUGAAAUCAUGGAUCGUGGGCACUCUCUCCGAAGAGGUUCUCGGCCAUGCCGUCGGUCUUCAAACUGCAGCUGAAGUGUGGACAGCAUUAACCAACCACUUCAAGCAGAGCUCGAUCGCCCGUGAAUUCGACCUACUCGCACAGCUGCAACACAUCAGGAAAUGAAAUAAUCCUUUACCUACUUACCUUCGUAAUUUUAAAUCAAUUUGUGAUCAACUGCAUGCUAUUGGCAAACCUGUUUCGGAUUCUACCAAAGUUUUCAGGUUAUUAGAAGGGCUCGAUGAAAGCUAUGAGCCAUUCAAGACGACUAUGUUCCGACCUCCUAUUCCGCUAUAUACAGAGGUGGUUCCCCAACUCCAAAGCUAUGAAUUACGAAUCAAGCGACACUCAAGCCCAGCUCCUGAUGUGUCUAUGGCUUUUGUGUCACAACGGGGACGCGGAAGCAACCGGCACAGAGGCCGAGGUAGAGGCCAUAACUUCAACUCUCGAGGCCGGGGUUUUCCUCAGACGACCCAAGGUGGCAGAUCAGAGGGCUAUCAAUCUACUCCGCCGCCUGGGGCUGAUCGUGCAGCCUUGACUUCCUCUACUGGCAACAAUCCUCUCACUUGUCAAAUUUGUAAAAAGCGAGGCCAUGAUGCUCUGCGAUGCUGGUUUCGAUUCGAUAACAGCUAUCAAAGUGACGACAUUCCCCGUGGUCUAGCUGCUCUCUAUAUCACUGAUGUGCAUGAUGAUGAAUGGCAUCCCGACACUGGUGCCAAUGCUCAUAUCACAGAUAAGCCAGGUAACCUUACUAACUUGGUUCCUUAUUCUGGAUCUGAUAGUGUGAUGGUAGGAGAUGGAACUUCCCUACCGAUUACUCAUGUGGGUACGGGCUCUUUUGGUAAUGGUAUUCAUCGCUUUUCGCUUUCUAAUGUCCUGGUUGUCCCGCAAAUGAAGAAAAAUCUUCUCUCUGUUUCCAAAUUGACCACAGAUCAUCCCUGUUAUUUUAAAUUUGAUGCAUCUGGUUUUUCUAUUAAGGAUUCCAAGACACACCAAGUACUAAUGACGGGAAAUAAUCAUCAAGGGUUGUACACCAAUAAAGAUCCGCAGCUUGCAGCUUUCUUCUCUCAGCGAAAUAAGGCGACCGAUGAACUCACUUGGCAUCGUCGAUUGGGCCAUCCGAAUAGCCAAAUCUUGCAGCAUUUGCGGAGUAAUAAUUUAAUUUCAGUAGCUAAGUCUUCUGGCACUUUGUGUACAAGCUGUCAGAUCAGCAAAAGUUCAAAAUUACCAUUCUAUAUAUCUAAUUCUCGAUGUUCUUUUCCUUUGAAUAAAUUACAUUGUGAUAUUUGGGGACCAGCGCCGGUAUCUUCAAUGCAACAGUUUCGAUAUUACGUAGUAUUUAUUGAUGAUUUUUCUCGUUACUGUUGGUUAUAUCCAUUGAAGCGCAAAUCAGAUUUUUUGGAUAUUUUUCUCACCUUUCAAAAAUUGGUUGAAAAUCAAUUUGAAAGAAAAAUUAAAAUUUUUCAAUCGGAUGGCGGGGGUGAAUUCAUUAGUAAUGCCUUUCUUUCUCAUCUUCGCAAUUGCGGCAUCCAACACCAACUUUCAUGUCCGAGCACACCAGAACAGAAUGGUGUUGCAGAAAGGAAGCAUCGCCACAUUGUGGAACUUGGACUCGCUGCACUAUUUGAGGCCUCAAUGCCCUACUGCUACUGGGUGGAGGCAUUCACCACUAUUAAUUAUUUGAUCAAUCGGCUUCCGUCUGCAGCACUAGGCAAGAAAAGUCCAUAUUCAGUUCUUUUCAAAAAGGAUCCCGACUAUUCACAUCUUCGUACUUUUGGAUCUUGUUGCUUUCCAUAUCUUCGCAGUUAUAUGGUGAAUAAAUUCGACAAACGAUCAUUGCCUUGUGUCUUUUUAGGCUACAGUGAGAAACACAAGGGUUAUCGCUGUCUUCAUCGAUCUACCGGUCGUAUCUAUAUUUCUCGACAUGUUAUUUUUGAUGAACAUUACUUUCCAUUUGCUACUUCCUCUCAGAUCGCUGCUACUUCUAUCGGGGAUCUCUUGCAUUGGGGCUCCACUCUCGGCUCUACUGACUCUACUCAAUCUAGCCGAACUUCUCUAUUUGAUUCAACUGACUCAAGAGAAGUUGCUCGAUUAUUCUCCGAUGAGGUUGCAACUACUACUUCAACAAACUUGCAACCUACUGAUCCUCCCAGCUCUUCGUCUAUGCCUCCAGUCGAUGCCGCACCACCUGCGACAGAAGUGGCCACUCCCUCUAUGCAUCCUAUGGUGACCCGCUCCAAGAUCGGAAUUUUCAAGCCUAACCCACGGUAUGCUAAUCUUGCCCUAUCAUCAAUUCCUCUCGAACCGCACACUGUCCAAUCGGCUCUUAAGCACUCUGGGUGGACAGCAGUGAUGCGUGAGGAAUUGGACGCUCUUGCAACAAAUAGAACAUGGCAGCUUGUUCCACGGUGUCCCUCGAUGAAUGUCAUCGGAUGUAAAUGGGUCUUCAAGACAAAACUCCAUGCGGAUGGGUCACUAGAUCGACUUAAAGCCCGCCUUGUGGCCAAGGGCUUCCAUCAGGAGGAGGGGGUCGACUUUCUUGAGACAUUCAGUCCGGUCGUAAAGCCGGGUACUAUUCGUAUCGUACUCACUAUAGCUACUGUUCGACAUUGGCCGAUUCGUCAAUUGGACGUUAAAAACGCUUUCUUACAUGGCGACCUCGUAGUACCGGUUUAUAUGGAGCAACCACCUGGUUUUCGUGACCCGACUUAUCCCGAUCAUGUGUGUUUACUUCGGCGCGCACUGUAUGGGCUCAAGCAAGCUCCUCGGGCAUGGUUCGACAAAUUCAGUGACUUUCUGAUUGGUUAUGGGUUCGUUUGUAGUAUCUUCGAUCCAUCAUUAUUUAUCUAUCGUCAUGACAAUCAUACUAUUAUUCUACUUCUCUAUGUGGAUGAUAUUGUUCUCACAGGUGACUCGCACCAACUUUUAGAUCGACUUAUUUUUGCUCUUGGUCAGGUUUUUCCUAUGAAAGAUUUGGGUCCUCUACAUUUCUUCUUGGGGAUUGAAGUACACCGCUCUUCAAAUGGUUUAUUUCUCUCACAACAAAAAUACGCUUCUGAUAUCUUAACUCGGGCUUCUAUGGAGCAAUGCAAGCCCAUUGCCACCCCUAUGACCUCUAAACCACCUCCACUUAAGGAAGGAGACAAACUAUAUAGUGACCCCUCGCACUAUCGAAGCGUUGUCGGUGCUCUUCAAUAUCUCACCAUUACUCGCCCGGAUCUCUCACUCGCGGUCAAUGUCGCCUGUCAGCAUAUGCAUGCUCCUACUAAUGCCAAUUACCAAUUAGUAAAGCGUAUACUCCGAUAUUUACGGGGAAGUCUACAUCUAGGGCUUCGCAUCCUAGCUCGUAGCUUGCUGGACUUAUUCGCCUUUGCUGAUGCGGACUGGGCAGGAUGCAAACUUACGCGUCGAUCUACUACAGGUUAUUGUUCUUUUCUUGAUUCUAAUUGUAUUUCUUGGUGCGCAAAGAAGCAGCCUACUGUGUCUCGAUCCACGGCCGAGGCCGAAUACCGGGCCCUCGCCUCAGCAGCUGCUGAACUCACGUGGAUCUCGCAUAUUUUACGUGAUAUUGGCAUUUCUCAACCUCGGCCUUCCCUACUUUUUUCCGACAACAUAUCUGCUUUGCAUCUCACAACUAAUCCAGUCUUUCAUGCUCGAACCAAGCAUAUUGAGAUCGACUAUCACUUUGUGCGGGAAAAGGUUGCCCUCGGUUCUAUUAUCACUCGUUACGUUCCAUCCUCUUUACAACUUGCUGAUAUUUUUACCAAACCAUUGACUCGGGACAGCUUUGUUGGUCUUAGAUCCAAACUCGGUCUCUGGUUAUCACCAAUGCCCAGUUUGCGAGGGAGUAUUGAAGCAUCAAAUCAAACCACAUUGAGCCAGUUCAACCAACUUACUAAAUCAAAAUCAAUUCGGAAUCAAGAGGACAACCGAACCACACCAAAUGAUCCAACUGCACCAAUCACAACUUGAUAGUUUUCGAAUUUAUAAAUUUGUAUUCUUGAGAGUGUAUGGUUGUAACCUCCUCCACAAUAUAGGAGUAACCUCCUCCACAAUAAGUGUGAGAAGUUCUCCUUUAUGUGUAUAAGUUUCUCAAUCGGACAUUAAUGAAGUGUGUAAGCUUCCAAUUUCUUUAUACCAAUUUAGUAUCCUGUAGUUUCGCACUUUUUUACUUUACUUUCUUAUGAUUUAAAGUGCAUCAAUUUAGUACCAUGUGGUUUCAAUUUUUCUCUUUCGUUGGUUUGUCUGUUAAUAUUUUGUUAAAUUAUAUACAAAAAAUUCAGAUACACUAUCUAGGUUUAUCAAAUAGUUACUUUAGUACCCUAUAGUUUUAACUUUGUUACUAUUUUUUUUCCCUCCGUUAAUAUUUCGUUAAAUUACAUACAAAAAACUUCAGAUACUCUACCUAUAUUUAUUGAAUAUUCACUUUCAUAUUCUUUAGUAUUAACUUUGUCACUAAUUUAACAAAAAAAAUUAGUGAAAUGGAUAAUAAAAAAAGUAAAAUGAAACCACAUGAUACUAAUUUGAUACACUUUAAAUCACAGAGUACAAAAGUGAGAACGUGCGAAACCACAGGGCUAACUUUAUACACUUUAAAUCACAGAGUACUAAAGUGAGGAAGUGUGAAAUUAUAAGGGGUUAUUUGAUUGAAUUUUAUCCUAAUAAAAAACUUAUUUGUUCCUGCAUUAUUUACUAUAUUUUUUUAACUUUACCGCUUCAUCUUAUAAAAUAUUCAAAAUGAUAAGAUAAUAACUCACA